rnacentral:rRNA from 1 species
UUAAUAUUCCUUGCCACCCUGAACAUGCCCGAUUUCGGAAGCUAAGCAGGGUUGGGCCUGGUUAACACUUGGAUGGGAGACCACCUAGGAAUACCAGGUGAUGAA